UGGUAGAAGUGAAGAAAAUGCAACAUUAGAUGAUACAGUAGGAUUUGAAUUUACAAAGAAACUGGUGAAAAAUAACAAAAAAAUAAGAUGUGAAAGGAAUAAAGGCAGAAAAAUGAAGAGAGGAAGAUAGAGAGAGGAAGAAACAGAGAUGGAAAAGAGGGGAGGAGUUAAAAGAGGAGAUAAAGAGGAUGGGAAAAGAGAAAGAAGAGGACAAGAGUGGGAACACAAAGAGAUGUGAAAGAAAGAAAGAAAGAAAUGAUGAGGAAUCAGUGAUUAGAGAAGCAGACAGUAAAGAAAACAAGGAAGAAGAGAAACAGUAGAGAUGAGCGCAGCUCGGAUUUACGACAAACAGAAGCUGAAGACGUUUUGGGAGCAGAAGAUCGUUGAACACAGCGAGCAGAUGGAUGAAGAGGAGGCUCGGAAAAGGAGCAGCGCUUUGGCUCGACUGAGGCAGCAGUGGGUGGUCCAGUUGGAUCAGAGGAACCAGCACCAGCAGAGUUUCUUUGAGGAACGAAUGAGACGAGCGCAGAAAACCCAGCAGAGCCUCAGAAAACUGGAUUCAGUCUGAAAUCGACGAGGAGAAGGUCACGAAAACCGACUUUCCCGCUCACCAGCCUGCAGGCGAAGUCAGUAUAAGGUUAAAGAAAGAUGUAAGGUCAAAGAAAAUGUACAACUCUUGGAUAAAAUUGAGGAAACAGUGAAGUAUCGAAGGUGAAAAAACAUGUUGAAGAGGAGUAAUGCUGCACUUCAUUCCUGCCUGGUGCUGUUGUGUAAUCAGUACUGCAUGGUUUGUGUUGUUGUUAAUUCUUACCAUGUAAUCAGUGAUCUUUAGUAAAUAAUUUCUCCUUCAGAUUUGGUGAUAUACAUGCUGUUUUUGACAUUUUAAAGAAAUUCUGUCAAACUCAAUUGAUUGUGAAAACGGCUCUUUAUUAUUCUGUUAAUGGUGGCCGCAGACCCACCUAGACGCCAAUAAUCAUCCUCUACAUCAAAGUUGGAACAUUUAGUUGUUUUUUCUCUGUGAAAGUUUGAGAUGCAUGGAGAAAUCACAAUAGAGCACCAUCUAGGAGAUGUGAAAUAUAAUAUAUGAAAUUAUAUGCGAUUUGAUUGUGAAAAUGUCUGUUUCUUCUGUUGGUCCUAGCAGCAGACCCACCUCUGGUUACCAUGAGAAUCCUCCAGAUGAAACUUGGAUUGUUUCAUUGUUUUUUCUCUGUGAAAGUUUGAGAUGCUUGGAGAAAUCACAAAGGAGAAUCUGCUAGUGGAUGCAAAAUAUAGUAUAAAAAUCCCAUGCAAGUUGAUUGUGAAAACGGCUGUUUCUUCUGUUGAUGGUGCAGACCCAAAUCCAAAAUGGAAGUUGGAUUAUUUAGUUGUUCUGUGCUUGUGAAAGUUUGAGACGCAUAGAAAAAUCAGAAAGGAGCACCUGCUAGUGGAUGCGAAAUAUAAUCUAUAAAAUCAUAUUCGAUUUGACUGUGAAACGGCUGUUUCUUCUGUUGACGGUACUUGCACACACACCUCUUGUUACCAUGAGGAUCCUCCACAUGAAAGUUGGAUUGUUUGGUUGUUUUUGUUGUCUGUGAGAGUUUGAGAUGCAUGGAGAAAUCACAAGGGAGCACUAGCUAGUAGAUUUGAAGUACAAUAUUGAAAAUCUCCUAUUUUUUGACUGUAAAAACGGCUUUCUCUUGUUGAUGGUAACUGCAGACCCACUUCUUGUUACCAUGAGGAUCCUCUACAUCAAGGCUGGAUUAUUCAGUUGUUCUUUGUUCCCUGUGAAACUUUGAAACACUUGGAGAAAUCACAAAGGAGCGCUGGCAAGUGGGCACAAAAUAUAAUAUAUAAAGUCACGCAUGAUUUGAUUGUGAAAACUGUUGUUUGUUCUUCUGAUGGUAGCUGCUGACCCAUCUUUUGUUACCAACGAUGCUCCUUUACAUAAAAGCUUGAUUAUUUAUUUUGCUUUUUGCUCUCUGAAAGUUUCAAAUGCAUAGAAAAAUCAGAAAGGAACAAAUGCUAAUGGAUGAAAAUGUAAUGUGGAAAAUCACGCACAAUUUGAUUUGACAAUUGUUGUUUCUUCUGCUGAUGGUAGCUGCAUCCACUUCUUGUUACCAUGAGGAUCCUCCACAUGAAAGUUGGAUUUUUUUGGUUGUUUUUGUUGUCUGUGAGAGUUUGAGAUGCAUGGAGAAAUCACAAGGGAGCACCUGCUAGUAGAUUCAAAAUAUAACAUUGAAAAUCUCAAGCUUUUUGACUGUGAAAAUGACUGUUUCUCCUGUUCAUGGUACUUGCAGACCCACCUGGUUUCCAUGAUGAGGCUCAGCAUAAAAGUGGAUUAUUUUGUUGUUUUUUUGUUCUCUGUGAAAGUUUGAGAUGCAUAGAAAAUAAUUAGAAAAUAUAUAAAAUCACACACGA